UACGGGGGGGCAAGCGUUGUUCGGAAUUACUGGGCGUAAAGGGACGUAGGCGGCCAACUAAGUCCGACGUGAAAUCCCAAGGCUUAACCUUGGAACUGCGUCGGAUACUGGAUGGCUUGAAUUCGGGAGAGGGAUGCAGAAUUCCAGGUGUAGCGGUGAAAUGCGUAGAUAUCUGGAGGAAUACCGGUGGCGAAGGCGGCAUCCUGGACCGACAUUGACGCUG
rnacentral:rRNA from 1 species